rnacentral:rRNA from 1 species
GAUGAACGCUGGCGGCGUGCUAACACAUGCAAGUCGAACGAGAGAAGAUCGGUGCUUGCACUGAUCCGAUCGAGUGGCGGACGGGUGAGUAACGCGUGGGUAACCUGCCUCAUACAGGGGAAUAACAGUUGGAAACGGCUGCUAAAACCGCAUAAGCGCACAGUAUCGCAUGAUACAGUGUGAAAAACUCCGGUGGUAUGAGAUGGACCCGCGUCUGAUUAGCUAGUUGGUGAGGUAACGGCCCACCAAGGCAACGAUCAGUAGCCGGCCUGAGAGGGUGAACGGCCACAUUGGGACUGAGACACGGCCCAAACUCCUACGGGAGGCAGCAGUGGGGGAUAUUGCACAAUGGGGGAAACCCUGAUGCAGCGACGCCGCGUGAGUGAUGAAGUAUUUCGGUAUGUAAAGCUCUAUCAGCAGGGAAGAUAAUGACGGUACCUGACUAAGAAGCACCGGCUAAAUACGUGCCAGCCGCCGCUGUAA